rnacentral:rRNA from 1 species
CGGCUGGCGGCGUGCCUAAUACAUGCAAGUCGAACGGUCUUUCUAUGGAAGCUUGCUUCCACUGAGAAGAUAGUGGCGAACGGGUGAGUAACACGUGGGUAACCUGCCCAUAAGAGGGGGGAUAACAUCCGGAAACGGGUGCUAAUACCGCAUAGUUUUCUUGAUCGCAUGAUUGAGAAAGGAAAGACGGCCUUUGUGCUGUCGCUUAUGGAUGGACCCGCGGCGUAUUAGUUAGUUGGUGAGGUAACGGCUCACCAAGACGAUGAUACGUAGCCGACCUGAGAGGGUGAUCGGCCACAUUGGGACUGAGACACGGCCCAAACUCCUACGGGAGGCAGCAGUAGGGAAUCUUCCGCAAUGGACGAAAGUCUGACGGAGCAACGCCGCGUGAGUGAAGAAAGGUUUUCGGAUCGUAAAACUCUGUUGUCAGAGAAGAACAAGUUGGAGAGUAACUGCUCCAGCCUUGACGGUAUCUGACCAGAAAGCCACGGCUAACUACGUGCCAGCCGCUGC